UACGUAGGGGGCAAGCGUUGUCCGGAAUUAUUGGGCGUAAAGAGCGUGUAGGCGGUCCGGUAAGUCAGCUGUGAAAGUCAAGGGCUCAACCCUUGAAUGCCGGUUGAUACUGUCGGGCUAGAGUCCGGAAGAGGCGAGUGGAAUUCCCGGUGUAGCGGUGAAAUGCGCAGAUAUCGGGAGGAACACCAAUGGCGAAGGCAGCUCGCUGGGACGGUACUGACGCUGAGACGUGAAAGCGUGGGGAGCAAACAGG
rnacentral:rRNA from 1 species